rnacentral:rRNA from 1 species
GAACGCUGGCGGCAUGCCUACCACAUGCAAGUCGACCGAGACCUUCGGGUCUAGUGGCGCCCGGGUGCGUAACGCGUGGGAACCUGCCCUUAGGUUCGGAAUAACUCCCCGAAAGGGGUGCUAAUACCGGAUAAUGUCUUCGGACCAAAGAUUUAUCGCCUUUGGAUGGGCCCGCGUUGGAUUAGCUAGUUGGUAGGGUAAAAGCCUACCAAGGCGACGAUCCAUAGCUGGUCUGAGAGGAUGAUCAGCCACACUGGGACUGAGACACGGCCCAGACUCCUACGGGAGGCAGCAGUGGGGAAUAUUGGACAAUGGGCGAAAGCCUGAUCCAGCAAUGCCGCGUGAGUGAUGAAGGCCUUAGGGUUGUAAAGCUCUUUUACCCGGGAUGAUAAUGACAGUACCGGGAGAAUAAGCGCCGGCUAACUCCGUG